ensembl:lncRNA
UGGGGGGUGUACUCAUGAACACGCAAAGGUCUACUGGAUGCUGUGCUUCCACCGGACCACACUGUGGUAGAUGUCUUCCACUUGCCCCUCCAGACCACCUCCCCACCCUCCGGCCAUGCCCAGUGUCCUGCAAUGCUGACCUUUGUGAAUGGGCUCAUCCAAGGCUACUUUGCCCUGGCUUCUGGUCAGGUUCAGCCAAUGGAAGGCACUGGGAGCAGGAAGUUAUUGCUUCCUCGAACUUGCAGUGAGUUGUCUAAUUCUCCUAACAAAGGCUGCAGCUCUGACCAGGUGGCCGUAUUCUAACCACUUCAGCACUUGUGCCUUCAGGUCUAGGAGAGAUGAAGCCUGCUCACCCUGGGAUUCCUCACCACUUGACAAUUCCUCCCAGAUCGUCACAUGUUCCUUUACUUUUGAUGUCACCUUAUCGAAGAGGACUUCUCUGCUCUUUAUCAAGAAGUGUCAAGCCUACCCCUGCCCCUGUCUCCCUGUCCCCUUCAAGUCUUGCUUUACUCUUUCUUCUCAGGGUGCAGCUCCCAGGCACUAGACAGAGACAGAACAGGGAAGGGCAGGGUCCUUGAUGUUCCGUCAGCAAUGCUGGAACAAAAGCCAAACCCUGGCACUUCUCCAGCCUCACCUCAUGUCUUAUGUUUCAAGCCGCCCAGCUUCCCUGCACAUCUCCAGGUGACUUUCUGCUCAGGUAUCCUCAUCACUCUCUUCCCAAACACCUGGAGCAUGGGGAAGGUCAAAAGGAGAGAAGACACCAGCUCAUAUGUCCUACCAGCCUCCCAGAAUCCUUCUCAGUGAAAUCUAUCUUGGCUGAGCCAUGCAUUCACCACAAGGAAGGACCCUGAGUCAGAAUGAUUGGCCAGAGACAACCCAGAAACGAACCCCAUUACUAUAAAACUGAGACUGUGAGCCACAUGGCAGAGUAGUCUUUCUGGGUUCCUUUACCAUGCUGUUCUCAGUCUGGGCGCUUCUUCCUGAUAAAGUCUCUGCUUUGUCAGCACACAUGUCUCCUCAAACAAUUCAUUUCUGAGUGUUAGACAAGCGCCUGCUCUUGGGCCCUGGGAGAGGGUCCCGCCAUCCUGCAAUACCACCCUAUGUUUCGCUCACCUUCUCCUAGCAUUUGUUGAUGGUGAGGACCUGUCUGGCUUUCUCCUCUGGUCUGUCUGCCAGCUCCUUAAAGAUGCCAUGGUGUCUCAUCUCUCACCUGCAUCUCUGAUCCCCAGUCCUUCACACUAGGUUGGUCCUCAGUGUCCAUUAGUUUUCCUAUGAAUGGUUGACUCACAGAUCUCACCGUUCACAUCGUUCUGGGGUUAGGUGGGAC